GAGGGUAUAGCUCAAAAUGCUAGAGCGCAUGCUUAGCAUGCACAAGGUCCUAGGUUCAAUCCCCAGUACCUCCU
rfam:Camelus ferus unplaced genomic scaffold scaffold2168, whole genome shotgun sequence.